UACGUAGGGAGCGAGCGUUAUCCGGAUUUAUUGGGCGUAAAGCGCGCGUAGGCGGGCUAUUAAGUCAGGUGUCAAAGCCCGGGGCUCAACCCCGGCACGCACCUGAAACUGGUAGUCUUGAGUCUGGUAGGGGAAAGUGGAAUUCCCAGUGUAGCGGUGAAAUGCGCAGAUAUUGGGAAGAACACCAGUGGCGAAGGCGGCUUUCUAGGCCACGACUGACGCUGAGGCGCGAAAGCUAGGGGAGCAAACA
rnacentral:rRNA from 1 species